GACAGAGGCCCCAAGCGUUAGGCGGAAUCACUGGGCUUAAAGCGUGUGUAGGCGGAUCGUUAAGUGUCUUGUGAAAUCCCACGGCUCACCCGUGGAACUGCUGGGCAUACUGGCGAUCUUGGGCCAACUAGGGGCAGCCGGAACAAGCGGUGGAGCGGUGAAAUGCGUAGAUAUCGCUUGGAACGCCGAAGGUGAAAACAGACAGCUGGGAGUGUGCUGACGCUGAGACACGAAAGCCAGGGGAGCGAACGGG
rnacentral:rRNA from 1 species